AUUCUGAUAUUAUGCUGCUGGCUAGAAACAAUAGCUUAUUUUUCCCUCAACAACUAGUAAAGUUCAUUUUAUAAAACACAAAAGCUAGAAGAAAUGGAAAACUGCAGAUGAUUCUACCAGCCAGGGCUCAUCACGGAUUCGGAAACUUCAGAUACGAAAUAUCCCGCCUCAUUUACAGUGGGAGGAAAUGGGGCAGCCUUGAGGUCAGACUUGGAAUUAUGUCCUAGCUCCACUACUUUCUCAUUGUGUGAUCUAGUUAUGGGAUCUCUGAACAGGUGCUGGAUAGUUUACUAGUCCAGUAUGGAGUGGUGGAGAGCUGUGAGCAAGUGAACACUGACUCGGAAACUGCAGUUGUAAAUGUAACCUAUUCCAGUAAGGACCAAGCUAGACAAGCACUAGACAAACUGAAUGGAUUUCAGUUAGAGAAUUUCACCUUGAAAGUAGCCUAUAUCCCUGAUGAAAUGGCCGCCCAGCAAAACCCCUUGCAGCAGCCCCGAGGUCGCCGGGGGCUUGGGCAGAGGGGCUCCUCAAGGC
rnacentral:sRNA from 1 species